rnacentral:rRNA from 1 species
AGAUACGUCCUACCGGGAGGGCAGCAGUGAGGAAUAUUGGUCAAUGGGCGGAAGCCUGAAACCAGCCAAGUCGCGUGAGGGAAGAAGGCCCUGCGGGUCGCAGACCUCUUUGGACGGGAAGCAAGGCCGCGGACGUGUCCGCGGAAGGAGAGUACCCGUAGAACAAGCAUCGGCUAACUCCGUGCC